GAUACGGGUGCGGGUGGCCCGAUCUUUCGAUGAGAUUGGUAACUCUCGAUUUGGGUAGGAGGUGACGUUGACGAUCCGACUACGGUCUAGGAGGCAGCGCCUUAGCAAUCGAUACACCAACUCCAAAGGGUUAUUGAUCACGCGGGGGCACGAUCAACCUGACCACGAAGGUCUUUAUUCCUGCAAGCAAUCGAAGAACAAGCAAGAACAAGAUAAAUAGCGGAUGCAAUCUAAAAUUGCAAAUAUACUAUAUCAAACCAAUGUCUCAACGAGACGAUAAGUUGGGGUUCCGAAAGCGGUAAAACAGGUGGUCUAACCGACACACGGGAUUACACGAAGUAGUAGCGAUGGCUAACUUUUAACUAAACAAAACCCAAGGCUCCUUAGGGGGGCUCAUGGGGUAUAUAAAGGAGGAGGGAGAGAUAUUUUCGUCCACCUUGAGUAUGGAGUCCGAAAUCCAACUCUAUCUCUAACUUUCCUAACAAAUUACAACUCUUUAGAAAACAGAUCCGUCAGCUUGUUUUGUCCGCCACGGUCAGCACGAGUCGAAUCUCUUGAUGGGGCCAGAUCCGUUGGAAAGGUCUUGUAAUUACCUUUCCAACAAGUACUUGUUUGCUUGAUUUGGACUCAGGAUUCGGCAUGGGUGAUUAAAACAAAUUCGGGUCUCCUGGCAGCUCGGACCCGAAUCGGAUUCAACUUUAAUUCGUGAUAUCUUUCUCUAGCAAGCUCCGAAUCAUGUGCCGUUUGAUUUGUUGGAAAGUACACUUGAAAUCCUUCCCUCUCAGCUGCAUGAAUGCUUGAUUCUUGUUGGCCCUCCCGUUCGCCUCCAUCGUAUCUCAUCUUGACCUUGGACUUGAAAAGCUCGACAAGAUGCCUACGUAAUAAAACGAGACAAGAUAAUAGUAGCUCCGCCUCUUCAUAAAUAUGACAAUGAAAACAAUUACUACUUGAAUUCACCUGAUUAUAAAUCUUGUCAAAUAUUAUAGAAUUGAGGGUACCAAAGGUCGUAUCCAUGGUUAGCAUGUCCAUAUCAUCCUCCCUUUCUUGAAAGGAAAGCCGUGCUCGGCGUCGUUUGUGCUGUAAAGAGACUGACAAAAUAGACAAGGUGUGUGCAUGGUAUCUGUAUAUGUCAUCCAUCUUUAUAUAUCUCCUUUCUUGCACAAUUAAUCUUUUAUAACAAAGUCUCAUGAGAUAAUUAGUAAAACAAUCAUGAUGAAUAACAUUCCAGCAAGAAGAUUGACAAUAUUGUUUGCAUUUAUAAGCGAAACGAUUUCUUGUAUUUGGUUUGCACCGCUCACCAUUACACCAUCCCAACAUUGGAGAAUAAUAAUGAAUAGUAUCCAAAUUAGUUACUACAAUAUGCUGAAAUUUAGAGCAAGUCAAAGCACUAAUAUUCAAACAAGCAUGUAAAUAACUAUUUGGCAAAUAAUCAACACCUAUAUUGGAGGUCCUAUCAAAAUGAUUAAGCAUGUGCAAAAAUUUAUUUUCUCCCAAGAGAGGAAAAUUAUCACAAGUAAUGCAAAUCUCAUGCACCAAAAUGUUAUUGUUCACAUCAUGUUGUCCAAUUAAAUGAAUUGUGUAUCCAUGAACAGCAAAAGAUUUCGAAAUUGUUAACUCACACAGUUUAUCCAUUGCAUGCGACAAAUACAUGGGACUAUCAAGUGCAAUAUAACACAAAGAAUUAAUAGGUGGAUCGUUCUCAAUCACUCCAUGUGUAAUUAAGUCGCCACAACCUAAACCAAAUUUAUCUACAUCACUUGUUUCUCCCAAAACAUUAGUUAUUUCCUCACAUGAUUCAUUCUCAUCAAUAUCAAAAUUAAUAUGUGCACUCAAAUCAUUAGAAGAAUUAAUUUCAGCAGUAGGUGCACUCAAAUCAGCAUGUAAAUCAACAAUUUCACAUGGUGCAGAAAAUUCAACGGGUAUCUCAUUUAUUUCAUCACAUGUCUUAUUUUGUUCAGCAACACAAUCAUCUUUAUCAUUACCUUGUAGGCUCAACACGUUUCUUGUACACCUUCUCUCCAAUUUCCUCUCCGCUUCACGAGCAAGAUUAAGCAAACACAAUAGAGAGUCGUAUUUUCCGUAUUCAAUUAUGUAAGAAAUAUCAAAGUUAAGCCCACAAUAAAACCUAUCCAUUUUUCUUUGUUCGGUUUCAUCUAAAUCAGAUCGCAAGGUUAAAAUUUGAAACUCAUGGUAGUAAUCAUCAACAGUUUUAUCAUCUUGUGUCAAACGUCGUAAUUUGGAACGCAACUCAUAAGCAUAACUUGGAGGAACAUAUUUUUCUCUCAUGAUUUUCUUCAUAUCAAUCCAAGUGUGAGGUAUUUUGUUUUCUCUAACUAUCUCACACCACCAUGAUAAUGCAUCAAAACGAAAUUUACUACUAGCAAUUUGGACCUUACGACUAUCUAGUACAUGGAAGCAUGUGAAUUGUUCAGUUAAAGCUAGCUCCCAAUCUAUAUACGUUUCAGCAUCAUUUUUCCCCUCAAAGAAAGGUACACACAAUUUAAUUGUAUUAGAAGGAGUGUUUUGUACCGUUGCCGUGGCAUUAUCAACAAGAGACGUGGAGGAUGGCCGGGGUGAAAAGCACUCAUCGCGGUCACGGAAUAGCAUCGGUCUAGUUGCCAUGCUUCGUGUAAGUCUUGUCAUGGUUAGUAGAAAACAAGAAACAAAUCACAGUAAUAUGUUCCUAUCAACUACUAGGAUGUGGCUACAAGUCGCUCAACUCUCAAGCUAAAAAUCAAGUUCUUACGAGUUCUUACCAUGCAAAACAGGAAGGUGAUGGCCAGCGGCGUAACCAACACCUCCGGAGAUUAAAUGUAUCGAUGCCUCGGUAACAAACCAACCUAGGUGUAGAAUCUGUGGAGCUUGGAGGCUUUUGUGAGUAGCAAGGAAUAGCAAAUAAUCAAAUCAGCAAUGCAAAGUUGAAAAUAUGCUCAAUAAUGCUAGUCCUAGCUGCUGGAGUCGACAAGAACGAAUUACAGAAAUUAACUAAGCCUAGAUACUGAAAAAGGUAUAAAGGAAAGAUCAAAUGAAAGGUAAAACAAGUAAAUCUCUGGGGAAUAUUUUUUUUCUCUUUUUUUUUCUUUUUUUUUUGGCCUUCUGUUUGGCUUCUUAUUCUUUUCUAUUUUUUUUUUCUUUUUAUCCCCAGAAACUCACGCAAAAGAAGUUAAGACCGGAAAGCUGCACGUCGGUCUGUAGGAGAAUAGCAAAGGCUGUAGUAAGGAAAACUCAGAAAAAUAUGAGAAAAUAUGGGUUAGAAGCGUAUCAAAACAAGCUUUCCAACAAGUGCAAGAUCACUCGAAACGGAGGUCGGACGGUGGAGAAAACUGAGAUAUACUGCGCUGCCCCAGUGCCGUAAAACGGGUGCUGAAAUUUGGAGCUCGAAAAGUCCACCUUAGAGGACGAAUUUUAGGGUCAAAGUGCAGGGCUUUGCCCUGGAUAUUUCCUGAUGCGGUUCGUCGUGAGCUUUCCAAAAAGUCCAAGAACGUCCAAAUCCGAGUUGGUAUGCAAAAGAUACGUCCGUUUUACUGAACACGGGUCAAACCCACCCGAAACUAAAAUUCUACUCGGACUCGGGUCCGAAACUGACUCGAACUCUUUCUCUUUUUUUUUUCGUUUUUUUUUCUUUCUUUCUUCCUUUUUUUUCUUUCCCUUUUUUUUUCACAACUUUCCGAACAAUUUGAUCUCUAAACAAAAUUCGAUCUAUUAUGACACACUUUCCAAAAGCACUCUUGAUUGGACUCAGACUCGAACUCGCGGCUGAAAACUAUAACUUUCCGACUCGAUGUAGGACUCGAAGAGGGACUCGGUGUAGGACUGGAAGAAGGACUCGGUGUAGGACUUGAAGAGGGACUCGGUGUAGGACUCGAAGAGGGACUCGGUGGAAGAUAUGGUGGAGGCGGGAGAUUAUGGCGGUGGUGUGGCAGGAAGUUUGGCGGCGGAAGAUUGAUGAAGGAAACCUGCGUCACACGAAGAACAAGAAAACCAAAAGAAAGUUCGAUCUAGUAGAAAAAAUCUGAAAAACGAUCCAAUCUAAUCCAGCAACUCGACACGAUUAAUGCAGCAAAGAUUCAACAAUGCAAAUACUAAAGUGAAAAUUGCAAGGCUCAGAUUGGUUCUAGGACAAGGUAACUAAUUCUAAUUUUUGUUUGGCUUUUUCUGGACGAUAGGUAAAAACAGAUCUAAACUAGGGAUAAACUGGAAAAAUCUCACCGAGCAACCUUAAGCUCUGAUACCACGUGAUACGGGUGCGGGUGGCCCGAUCUUUCGAUGAGAUUGGUAACUCUCGAUUUGGGUAGGAGGUGACGUUGACGAUCCGACUACGGCCUAGGAGGCAGCGCCUUAUCAAUCGAUACACCAACUCCAAAGGGUUAUCGAUCACGCGGAGGCACGAUCAACCUGACCACGAAGGUCUUUGUUCCUGCAAGCAAUCGAAGAACAAGCACGAACAAGAUAAAUAGCGGAUGCAAUCUAAAAUUGCGAAUAUACUAUAUCAAACCAAUGUCUCAACG
rnacentral:lncRNA from 1 species